AUCCAGAUGACGAGUCCAAAAUAGGACGAACAGUGCAUCCUGAAU
rnacentral:hammerhead_ribozyme from 1 species